GGCAGGGAGAGCCUGGCCACCGCGGCGCGCAGCGCGCACGCGAGGAAAGUCCCCCCACCGCGGGGCAGGUGACCGGGGAAACCCCGGGACGGGAGACCGUCGGCGCUGGAACAGCAACGAGACCCCUCCGUCCGACCGAUGGAGUGUGCGAACCCGGACCGAAAAACGGGACGGCCCGAAAAAAGGAAUGGGGAGUCAACCCACCAAGGGAUGAGGGCGGAGAACGGAUGGAACGGCGAACCCUCACCGGUGCAAGUCCGCACCGCGCGGCGCGAGCCGCACGGUAGUCCCGCAGGGGUGCGGACGCUCAGCCGAAUGCCAGGGCGAACUGAAGGGGGCUUACUCCUCCCCAGCC
rnacentral:RNase_P_RNA from 1 species